rnacentral:sRNA from 2 species
CCCUAGCCCCGAUGGAAGUGAAAAUCCUUUUGUGCCGGGGCUGGGCACAAAAGAUUGCAGCGUAUAGCGGGAAAAAGC